CGUCUUCGCCGUCGCACCUCCCAUCACUGCCGCCACUGAGGAGCUCGAAGAGAGAGAAAGGGUUUGCGCAGAGAGAGAAACACGAUGAGGGAGGAGGAGGUUGCCUCUGUUGCUGCCAAGCCGUCGCUGACGGGGUUGGGUUCGCCGUCGCCGUUGAGCUGUGUGCCGCUGUUGGCGUCUGGAUCGCCACUCUGUUUCUGCUGUAACUUGCCACUGUCCUGACAUACACUUACCUUGAAGCAGCUUGGUCUGAUCAUUGGCAAAGGUCAGUUAUUCAUUAUUAUUAGUAGCUUGACAUUGUGGUUUAGUUCUUUUACU